GAUGAACGCUGGCGGCGUGCCUAACACAUGCAAGUCGAACGAUGAAACCGCCCUCGGGCGGACAUGAAGUGGCGAACGGGUGAGUAACACGUGACCGACCUGCCCCCCGCCCAGGGACAGCCCCCCGAAAGGGGGAUUAAUACCUGGUACUCCGGAAGCGGCGCAUGCCGCCCCCGGGAAAGCUCUGGCGGCGGGGGAUGGGGUCGCGGCCCAUCAGGUAGACGGCGGGGCAGAGGCCCACCGUGCCGACGACGGGUAGCCGGGUUGAGAGACCGACCGGCCACAUUGGGACUGAGAUACGGCCCAGACUCCUACGGGAGGCAGCAGUGGGGAAUUUUGCGCAAUGGGGGCAACCCUGACGCAGCAACGCCGCGUGCGGGACGAAGGCGUCCGCGUCGUAAACCGCUUUCAGCGGGGAACACCUAACGAGGGUACCCGCAGAAGAAGCCCCGGCUAAAUACGUACCAGCCGCCGCAGUAAAAC
rnacentral:rRNA from 1 species